UAUUCAAAAUUCCUAAAUCAGACUGAAACUUUAAUAUUUCAAAAACCAGAUUUUUUAUUAAUUAUUUAAAUAAAUUAAUUACCAAAAAAAUAAAAACCCUACCCAACCUUCACUACGCACUGCCAUUUCUUUCCUUUCCCCUGCUCAUCUCUCUCUCUAUCCCUCACACCCUUCUCCAGCGACGAUCUCAUCCCACCUAUGGCAACCACCAUAACUGCAACAACCACAAUCACUAUACCCAUUACAACCACCAAACCUCUCAAAACCACAAUCGUCGUCCAACUGUUGUGAACUCACCAUCGCUGGGAGGCUAUUGCGAACUCGCUGUUCCUGGAAGCCACUACCGGAAAUCACCGCCAAUGAGAUUGUUACACGAUCUGAUGUUUGCUGCUGCGAGAUGUGGUGGGUCUACUGCGUGAUCCUCCUUGCUACAUCCCAAAUCUUUUUCCUGAUUUUGGUGGCCGAGGGGUUUCUGUGUUAUUCGAUUGUGGAAUGAUUUGGGUGCGGUGUUGUAUUGUGUUUUGUUGUGUGCGAUAGGUGCGAGGUGGUGGUGGUGUUUGACGGUAGUGAGAUGGUGGUUUUGGGGGGUUACAGUGGUUUAGGUGAUGGCAGUGAUGUUCAACGAUGGUAAAGAGGGUGCAGAUGGUGGUUUUGUGGUCACAGUAAGUGCAGUUUGGGUGAUGGUCGUCGUGGUCGUGGUGAUGGUGUUGGUGUAAGGCUACGACGGUGCUGGCGAUAAUUUGGGGACGGUUGUGGAUGGUGACUUUGACUCACAGUUUGGUGUUAGUGUGUGGUGGCAACCGUUGGGGCGAUGAAAAUUGUGAUUGUGACUCACAAUUGGUGACUCCCAAUUGUGGUGUUGGUGUGUGGUGGGUGGCAACAAUAGUGACGGUGAUGGCCAUGAGAAUUG
rnacentral:lncRNA from 1 species